AACGAACGCUGGCGGCAUGCCUAACACAUGCAAGUCGAACGAGACCUUCGGGUCUGGUGGCGCACGGGUGCGUAACGCGUGGGAACCUGCCCUUAGGUUCGGCAUAACUCCCCGAAAGGGGUGCUAAUACCGGAUAAUGUCUUCGGACCAAAGCUUUAUCGCCUUUGGAUGGGCCCGCGUUGGAUUAGCUAGGGGGUAGGGUAAAAGCCUACCAAGGCGACGAUCCAUAGCUGGUCGGAGAGGAUGAUCAGCCACACUGGGACUGAGACACAGCCCAGACUCCUACGGGAGGCAGCAGUGGGGAAUAUUGGACGAGGAGCGAAAGCCUGAUCCAGCAAUGCCGCGUGAGUGAUGAAGGCCUUAGGGUUGUAAAGCUCUUUUACCCGGGAUGAUAAUGACAGUACCGGGAGAAUAAGCUCCGGCUAACUCCGUG
rnacentral:rRNA from 1 species